rnacentral:rRNA from 1 species
AUUGAACGCUGGCGGCAGGCCUAACACAUGCAAGUCGAACGGUAACAGGAAGAAGCUUGCUUCUUUGCUGACGAGUGGCGGACGGGUGAGUAAUGUCUGGGAAACUGCCUGAUGGAGGGGGAUAACUACUGGAAACGGUAGCUAAUACCGCAUAACGUCGCAAGACCAAAGAGGGGGACCUUCGGGCCUCUUUCCAUCGGAUGUGCCCAGAUGGGAUUAGCUAGUAGGUGGGGUAACGGCUCACCUAGGCGACGAUCCCUAGAUGGUCUGAGAGGAUGACCAGACACACUGGAACUGAGACACGGUCCAGACUCAUACGGGAGGAAGCAGUGGGGAAUAUUGCACAAUGGGCGAAAGCAUGAUGGAGCAAUGCCGCGUGUAUGAAGAAGGCCUUAGGGUUGUAAAGUACUUUAAGCGGGGAGGAAGGGAGUAAAGUUAAUACCUUUGCUCAUUGACGUUACCCGCAGAAGAAGCACCGGCUAACUCCGUG